rnacentral:lncRNA from 1 species
AUUAUAGAAGUUUGUCUAAGAAAGGAUAGAAAGGCAUGUGGAUAUUAUAUGUUGCUAUUAUUUAAUUUAAAUAGAAGAGAGUUUCAAACUAAGUGCUUAAAGUAUUAGAUUGGAGCUGAACUUAAUGAUUUGAAAUUGGUGACAUCAUUCUUUGAGUAAAAGAAGAGGCCUUAUUAAUCUCUAAAGAUUUUAAUAAGAGGUUUCACAAACUUGAUAGAAGGUAUUAAGAUUUGCAUCAUUUCUUUUGCAAUUGCAAGUAUUACAUAAGAACAAUGUCAAAUUCUAAGGUUUGUAUUGCAAUGAGAUUUUUAAUUGUCAUCAAUGUCACAACAAAGCAAAGGUCUUAAAAUUCUUCUUAGUUAUCAUGUCUUGUCUUUUCAAGUGUAUUUUGAUUGAUGUUUUGUUUUGUAUGUGCACUUUUGCAUCUGCUUUGUUAUAAUUGUGAGACAUAUGUCUUUCUUAGGGCCCCUAAAAUUCAACAUCUUCAUCAAACACUGCUCAAGAAGC